rnacentral:rRNA from 1 species
GACGAACGCUGGCGGCGUGCUUAACACAUGCAAGUCGAACGAAGUGGCGAACGGGUGAGUAACGUGUAAUCAACCUGCCCUUCAGAGGGGGACAACAGUUGGAAACGACUGCUAAUACCGCAUACUGAAGGAGGGGAUUGCGUCUGAUUAGCUAGUGGGAGGGGUAACGGGCGACCAAGGCGAUGAUCAGUAGCCGGUCUGGUGGGAGGAACGGCCACAGUGGGACUGAGGCGCGGCCCUGACUCCUACGGGAGGCAGCGGUGGGGAAUCUUGCGCAAUGGGCGAAAGUCUGACGGAGCAACGCCGCGUGAGUGAUGACGGCCUUCGGGUUGUAAAGCUCUGUUAAUCGGGACGCGGUACCGGAAUAGAAAGCCACGGCUAACUACGUGCCAGCAGCCGCGGUAAUUC